GAUUACAGAAUGUUCUCGGAAAGUAAACACAGAACUUGCAAUCUGAUUCUAAGGGUUAUACUCUAAAAGCCGAAGGCAGAAGCUUAAUAUGCACCCUAUGUCACAUCAAAGGGCUCCAGCGCUGAAUUGCAAAAUCUGUGCAACAAGAAUGUCAGAAGAAAUUAUUUGGUGAAUAACAAACUACACUGGAGAGUGGUCAAAUUUUGUGGGCAAUUUCCAGAGUAAAAGUGAUUCACCCAUGAAAUCAUGUAGAGGAUGUGUGAAAGCGCAGAUCUCCUCUCUUCAAGUACCAGAUAAAGCCUGCUUCUGUCAGCAGUAGAAUCUACAAUGUUUCACAAUCAGCAUGAUGCUGAAGAAGUACGUAUUUGUACCCACAGAAGAAAACAAAAGCUUUCUACGUGAAAGCUACCCAGAGACCCAUAAUAUUUUUUAAACCGUGAAACUUCGCUACAACAUCUACACCUUGCUCUCAGUAUCAGAAACCAAGAGAGAGUAUACUAAUGGGCACAGCCAGAAACUAUUAAGAUAAGUUAUUAUAAAAGAACGCAACGUUAAUAAAAUGGGAGUAACUGACCAAAAACACACAUGCACGCACAAAAGGAAAAUGUUCAAUAAAGAAGCUUUAUUUUGAGAUUGCA